rnacentral:rRNA from 1 species
UACGUAGGUGACAAGCGUUGUCCGGAUUUACUGGGCGUAAAGAGCGCGCAGGCGGUCGUUCAAGUCGAGUGUGAAAGCCCCCGGCUCAACUGGGGAGGGUCAUUCGAUACUGAUCGACUCGAAGGCAGGAGAGGGAAGUGGAAUUCCCGGUGUAGUGGUGAAAUGCGUAGAUAUUGGGAGGAACACCAGUGGCGAAGGCGGCUCACUGGACCGGAACUGACGCUGAGGCGCGAAAGCCAGGGGAGCAAACGGG